rnacentral:rRNA from 1 species
GACAGUAGGUUUGCGAACGUUUAUCCGGGAAUUAUUGGGCGUAAAGGAUGCGUAGAUGGCUUGAUAAGUUAUCAGUGGCAAAUCGGGGCUUAACCUCGUGGAAGCUGGUAAUACUUGUCAUGCUGCGAGUACAGGAGAGGUUAACGGAACUACUAUGUGGAGCGGUAAAAUGUGACGAUAUAUAGAAGGAACACCAACAGGCGAAAGCAGUUAACUAUUCUAGUUACUGGACAUUGAGGCAUGAAAGCGUCGGGAGCAAACGG